UUGUAUUUUAAUCAAUUAAUAGUUAAAUAUAAAUUGAAAUACAAUGUUUAUGUAAUUAUCCAGUAGGCAAUGAUAUUGAUAUAAACUUAGAACUAAUCAUUCUGAGUACAAAAAUCAUCAUACUUAUCUGGUCAUUAUGUAAUCUGGUACGAUACUUUAUCUAAAUUGUAAAUAUUCAUUACAUUUAUAUUACAGUGCAAGACCGAGUUAAGCUCAUCUGUUUCUAGUGUAUAGGUAAUUAAAAUUUGUCUCUUAGAUCUAUGUAGUGAUCUAAAAUGAGAAUGUUAAGUUAUUAAAAGUAUGUUUUACUGUUUUAUAGACAGCUUGGUGAUUAUUUCUGAUGAUGAGAUUCCCGAAACAACCACUCAGGACCUUUUGAAUCUGAGUUCCACACAAUUUGAGGGAAACGUGUCUAACAGUGAUUACGACGGAGAUAUUUCAGAUACGAGUGCUGCAAUAGAAGACCCAGAGGAAAUCAUCUCGGAAACCGACAUUCAACAAGACAUCGAACUACAACAGAUCUGCGCAGUGUGGCGUGAAUUCUUCGAAGCAAAGACUGAUUUAUUGGAAAACUUUGGACAGAUUGAUUAUACACUUGAAUCUGAUCGAGGUACAGAU